GGGAAAGCUUCAGAACAAGAGCGUAUGAGGGAUGAUUUCUGGAAUGAGGCCAUCAAACUUGCAGACUUGCACCAUCCAAACGUUGUUGCCUUCUAUGGUGUUGUGCUAGAUGGUCCGGGUGGCUCGGUGGCGACUGUUACAGAAUAUAUGGUUAACGGGUCCUUGAGAAAUGCUUUACAAAAGAAUGAGAGGAAUCUGGAUAAGAGGAAACGCCUCGUGAUUGCCAUGGAUGUUGCAUUUGGAAUGGAGUAUCUUCAUGGGAAGAAUAUAGUGCACUUUGACUUGAAAAGUGACAACCUGUUGGUUAAUCUGCGUGAUCCCCACCGUCCAAUAUGCAAGGUUGGCGAUUUGGGGCUAUCCAAAGUGAAAUGUCA
rnacentral:misc_RNA from 1 species